rnacentral:piRNA from 2 species
UUUAAAGCUAUGAUUGAUGCCCAAGACAGA